AUGAACGCUGGCGGCGUGCCUAAUACAUGCAAGUCGAGCGGACAGACGAGGAGCUUGCUCCUCUGACGUUAGCGGCGGACGGGUGAGUAACACGUGGAUAACCUACCUAUAAGACUGGGAUAACUUCGGGAAACCGGAGCUAAUACCGGAUAAUAUAUUGAACCGCAUGGUUCAAUAGUGAAAGACGGUUUUGCUGUCACUUAUAGAUGGAUCCGCGCCGCAUUAGCUAGUUGGUAAGGUAACGGCUUACCAAGGCGACGAUGCGUAGCCGACCUGAGAGGGUGAUCGGCCACACUGGAACUGAGACACGGUCCAGACUCCUACGGGAGGCAGCAGUAGGGAAUCUUCCGCAAUGGGCGAAAGCCUGACGGAGCAACGCCGCGUGAGUGAUGAAGGUCUUCGGAUCGUAAAACUCUGUUAUUAGGGAAGAACAAAUGUGUAAGUAACUAUGCACGUCUUGACGGUACCUAAUCAGAAAGCCACGGCUAACUACGUG
rnacentral:rRNA from 1 species